rnacentral:rRNA from 1 species
ACCCUUAACUCGGAUAAAUGUUUUACAGUUGGAAUAAAGGGGCAACCGAAACAGAAGUGUACUGUGGUCAUCCCAGAGACCUUCCGUAUCGGUUCGCGCUCGUGUCCUGCAUUGAAGCGCACAGACGAGUGGAAGUAUUUAGGCAUAACAUUCACUGCACAAGGGAGGACCAGGUACAGUCCAGCCGACGACCUAGGUCCGAAGCUGUUGAGGCUGACAAGGUCCCCCCUAAAACCACAACAGAAAUUGUUCGCACUCAGAACAGUUCUUAUCCCACAACUUUACCAUAAGCUGACCCUAGGUAGUGUGAUGAUAGGUGUUCUGAGAAAGUGUGACAUACUGGUACGUUCGACCGUAAGGAAGUGGUUAGGGCUUCCUCUGGACGUGUCAACUGCAUUCUUCCAUGCUCCUCAUACUUAUGGGGGCCUCGGAAUCCCUUCAGUUCGUUGGGUAGCGCCAAUGCUACGUAUGAAAAGAUUGAGCAAUAUUAAGUGGGCCCACCUCGCGCAAUCCGAGGCGGCCAGCUCAUUUCUUACCGACGAAUUGAAUAAGGCCCGGGGUAGAACUCUGGCUGGACUGAAUGAGUUGACAUCGCGUACAGAGAUCGAAACGUACUGGGCGAACAGGUUGUAUAUGUCUGUUGAUGGUCGCGGCUUACGUGAAGCGGGACUUUUUCGUCCCCAACACGGCUGGGUGUGUCAGCCCACGCGUUUGCUAACAGGUCAAGAUUACCGAAACAGUAUCAAGCUGCGAAUAAAUGCCCUACCAUCGAGGUCUCGUACCACGAGGGGCAGAAAUGAAUUGGAACGGCAAUGUCGUGCAGGUUGUGAUGCUCCCGAAACAACAAACCACAUCCUGCAGAAUUGUUACCGUACGCAUGGGAGGCGGGUAGCAAGACAUAACUGUGUAGUCAAUAACCUUAAGAGGAUUCUUGAGGAGAAGGGCCACACAGUACACGUCGAACCAAGUUUGCAGCUGGAAACCUCGGUAAGUAAACCAGACCUGGUGUGUAUCCGUGACAAUCACGCUUGCGUGAUUGAUGCGCAGAUUAUAACGGAUGGACUGUUUCUCGACGAUGUGCACCAUCGCAAAGUUGAGAAAUAUAAAAGACCGGAAGUUAUAUCUGCACUGCGGAGAGAAUUCGGAGUGUCGGGCAACGUCGAAGUCCUAUCCGCGACGUUAAACUGGCGUGGGAUCUGGAGCAAUCAAUCCGUUAGAAGAUUGAUAGCAAAGGGUCUCAUCUCAUCCGGUGACAGCAAUGUCAUUAGCGCCAGAGUGGUAACAGGCGGACUAUAUUGCUUCAGACAGUUCAUGUAUCUCGCAGGUUACACUCGAGAUUGGACUUAGCCUAUACACUAUGUUGGAGAGAAGACGCUUGCUACCUAGGCAAAAUGUGAAAUUAGGUAUAAACAUCGUGGUUGUAAAACUUGAGGUGGGUUUUUAGUACGUAUGCGUGAUUACUUCGUAAUCAUGAAUCGUGCAUGCUAGUGGGGUUUGGCCUCCACUAGUAUCUUUGAAGAUUUUCCUUCCUCAGCGAUCAAAAAAAAAAAAAAAAAAAAAAAAAAAAAAAUAGCCAAAUGCCUCGUCAUCUAAUUAGUGACGCGCAUGAAUGGAUUAACGAGAUUCCUACUGUCCCUAUCUACUAUCUAGCGAAACCACAGCCAAGGGAACGGGCUUGGAAUAAUUAGCGGGGAAAGAAGACCCUUUUGAGCUUGACUCUAAUCUGGCAGUGUAAGGAGACAUAAGAGGUGUAGCAUAAGUGGGAGAUAUUAGAUUUCGGUUUGGUAUCGACAAUGAAAUACCACUACUCUUAUUGUUUCCUUACUUACUUGAUUAAAUGGAACGUGUAUCAUUUCCUAGCCAUUAUACGGAUAUAUUUAUUAUAUCUUAUGGUACUGGGUUUUGAUGCAAGCUUCUUGAUCAAAGUAUCACGAGUUUGUUAUAUAAUCGCAAACAAAUUCUUUAAUGAGAAAAUGCAUUUAUGUAUUUUCAAUUUGAAAAUUUGGUAUAACUCCAAUUACUCAGGUAUGAUCCAAUUCAAGGACAUUGCCAGGUAGGGAGUUUGACUGGGGCGGUACAUCUCUCAAAUAAUAACGGAGGUGUCCCAAGGCCAGCUCAGUGCGGACAGAAACCACACAUAGAGCAAAAGGGCAAAUGCUGACUUGAUCUCGGUGUUCAGUACACACAGGGACAGCAAAAGCUCGGCCUAUCGAUCCUUUUGGUUUAAAGAGUUUUUAACAAGAGGUGUCAGAAAAGUUACCAUAGGGAUAACUGGCUUGUGGCGGCCAAGCGUUCAUAGCGACGUCGCUUUUUGAUCCUUCGAUGUCGGCUCUUCCUAUCAUUGUGAAGCAAAAUUCACCAAGCGUUGGAUUGUUCACCCAUGCAAGGGAACGUGAGCUGGGUUUAGACCGUCGUGAGACAGGUUAGUUUUACCCUACUAAUGACAAAACGUUGUUGCGACAGCAUUCCUGCGUAGUACGAGAGGAACCGCAGGUACGGACCAAUGGCACAAUACUUGUUCGAGCGAACAGUGGUAUGACGCUACGUCCGUUGGAUUAUGCCUGAACGCCUCUAAGGUCGUAUCCGUGCUGGACUGCAAUGAUAAAUAAGGGGCAAUUUGCAUUGU